CCUACGGGAGGCAGCAGUGAGGAAUAUUGGUCAAUGGGCGGAAGCCUGAACCAGCCAAGUCGCGUGAGGGAAUAAGGCCCUACGGGUCGUAAACCUCUUUUGCCGGGGAGCAAGGGCGGGGACGUGUCCCGGCCCGGAGAGGACCCGGAGAAAAAGCAGCGGCGAACUCCGUGCCAGCAGCCGCGGUAAUACGGAGGAUGCGAGCGUUAGCCUGAUUUAUGGGGGUUAAAGGGUGCGUAGGCGGGCUUUUAAGUCAGCGGUAAAAAUUCGGGGCGCAACCCCGUCCGGCCGUUGAAACGGGGGGCCUUGCGUGGGCGAGAAGCAGGCGGAAUGCGUGGUGUAGCGGU
rnacentral:rRNA from 1 species